rnacentral:rRNA from 1 species
UGAAUACGAGACGCUACGGCGUCGAAGCAGUCUAUGUCAUACUUCCAAGAAAAGCUUGCACUGUCAUAAACAAAGAAUGCCUGUACCAUAACCGACACAGGUGGGUAGGUAGAGUAUACUAAGGGGCGCGAGAUAACUCUCUCUAAGGAACUCGGCAAAAUGACUCCGUAACUUCGGGAGAAGGAGUGCCUUAUUUAUAAGGUUGCAAUAACAAGAUCCAAGCAACUGUUUACCAAAAACACAGGUCUCCGCUAAGUCGUAAGACGAUGUAUGGGGGCUGACGCCUGCCCAGUGCCAGAAGGUUAAAGAAGUUGGUUAGCAUUCGCGAAGCUGAUAACUGAAGCCCUGGUGAACGGCGGCCGUAACAAUAACGGUCCUAAGGUAGCGAAAUUCCUUGUCGGGUAAGUUCCGACCCGCACGAAAGGCGUAAUGAUUUGGAUACUGUCUCGGAGAGGGGCUCGGUGAAAUAGACUUGUCUGUGAAGAUGCGGACUACCUGCACCUGGACAGAAAGACCCUAUGAAGCUUUACUGUACCUGAAAUUGAAAUUGGACUUUAUUUGCGCAGUAUAGGUGGGAGGCGUUGAGAAUCUUCUUGCGGGAAGAUUGGAGCCAUCAGUGAGAUACCACUCUUGUAAUGUUAGAUUUCUAACUUUGGAUCAUUAUCUGGUCAAAGAACAGUUUCAGGCGGGCAGUUUGACUGGGGCGGUCGCCUCCUAAAUGGUAACGGAGGCGCACAAAGGUUUCCUCUGAACGGGUAGAAAUCGUAUCUAGAGUGUAAAGGCAUAAGGAAGCUUGACUGUGAGACCUACAAGUCGAGCAGGGACGAAAGUCGGUCUUAGUGAUCUGACGGUGCUGAGUGGAAAGGCCGUCACUCAACGGAUAAAAGUUACUCUAAGGAUAACAGGCUGAUCUCCCCCAAGAGUUCACAUCGACGGGGAGGUUUGGCACCUCGAUGUCGGCUCAUCGCAUCCUGGGGCGGUAGUACGUCCCAAGGGUUGGGCUGUUCGCCCAUGAAAGCGGUACGCGAGCUGGGUUCAGAACGUCGUGAGACAGUUCGGUCCAUAUCCGGUGUAGGCGUUAGAAUAUUGAAAGGAGCCUUCUUUAGUACGAGAGGACCGAGAAGGACAUACCUCUGGUGUACCAGUUAUCGUGCCAACGGUAAACGCUGGGUAGCUAUGUAUGGAGAGGAUAACCGCUGAAAGCAUCUAAGUGGGAAGCCCACCUUAAGAUAAGUAUUCUCAAAAAGAAAG